rnacentral:lncRNA from 1 species
CUUCAGGUUCCUCAUCUAUAAAAUGAGGAUAAUAACAGCACCCACUUCACAAGGUUGUGGUGAGGAUCAAAAGAGAUAUUACGUAAAAGUCCUGGCACUUUGCCUGGCACUUAAUGGGUACUUAAUAAGUGCUCUUCCUGUCCCUUGCCCCUUGAGUUAGUGAAUAGCUUGGUAUUUGAGGGUCUGUGACAGCCAGCAGGGUUGUGCCUCUCAGUGCCCAAAAGAACCACCGGGCCUGUCUCUCUGGGCAGAACCCCUGGGCAGAGACGAAGGCUGGUGAGAAACAGCCAGACUGUUCUCCAUUGUGAGGAUUUCCUGUUUCCUUUCAGACUCAGUGUGAAUCAGAUCACCGACUGCGGCGUCAAGGUGCUGUAUGAAGAGCUAACGAAAUACAAAAUUUUGACCUUCUUGGGGUUAUACAACAACCAGAUUACCAAUGUUGGAGCCAAAUACGUUGCUAAGAUUGUGGAGGAGUGCACAAACCUCACACACCUGAAACUGGGCUCAAACUACAUAACGAGCGAAGGAGGAAAGUGCCUGGCUUUGGCGGUCAAGAAGAGCAAGUCGAUCAUGGACGUUGGGAUGUGGGGCAAUAAGAUAGGGGACGAAGGGGCCAAGGCUUUUGCGGAGGCGCUGAGGAAUCACCCCAGCUUGUGCAACUUGAGUCUCGCCUUCAACGGCAUCUCCACGGAAGGAGGAAAAAGCCUCGCGAAAGCGCUGCAGCAGAACAGCUCAGUGAGGAUCUUCUGGUUGACCAAAAAUAACCUUGAUGAUGAAGUAGCCGAGAGCUUGGCGGAGAUGCUGGAAGUCAAUCAGACGCUGAGGGACUUGUGGCUCAUUCAGAACCAGAUCACGGCCAAGGGGGUCUCCUGCCUGGCAGACGCUCUCCGGAAGAACUCCACCAUCCUAGAUAUUUGCUUAAAUGGGAACCCUAUCAAGCCUGAGGAGGUCAAAGUUUUUCAAGAUGAGAAGAGGUUCCAUUUUUGAGGAGCCGCUUCUGCCAGCGCUGUCUCCAGGACUGGAAAGAAAUGCGCUGUCGGAGCCAGAGAUGCAGCCUCCUGGGCUUGGGACGAGAGCCUGGGCCGGCUGUCGGGGCAGAGCUUGGGGACAACGGUGGUCCCCAUGGUGCAGACGCCCGGACACUGGGCAGACCAGGCCUCUGAGAGCAGCCCAUUUUGCCUUUUCAGAUAAAGGACUAGGGGACGGACCGGACUUUUCUCGCGGCAGAAUCUGGUUUUUGGAUAUUUUUGGAUAGUGUAUAUGUCGCCAGAGGCUCGUGUACACAGCCCUAAUUUUCUGUGCGUGUCCAUUAGCCGUGUUGUGCACACACUAAGCCCUUCAGCAGUGGAAGGGAAAGAAUUUAUUUUUCUAUGUAAUGGGAGGAAGAAAAAUGUAAAAGAAAAUUCCGAGCGGGCCAAGCUCGGUUCCUGCCAGUGCCUGAACCUCCCCUGAACCCGAAGGCCGCUGAGCAGUGCAGUGGAUCAGGGCACGGGGGACUUAGACAGGGAGACCUGAAUUUAAAUCCUGCUUCACAUGCUAGCUGAAUGAAACUCGGCAAUUUUCCUCAUCUGUAAAAUGGGAAUAAUGCUAAAACUUGCCUCACAGGGUGGUUGGGAGGAUCAAAUGAGAUACAGAGUGCCUUGAAAACCUAAAGUGAUGCUUUUAAAAAAAAUAUUAUGAUUAUUAUCGUGGAAACAAAUCACUACCGGCAUCAAGAAACUGAGAACCACAAUGGCAUGGGACCAUAGUUUCAGAAUGGAAGGGACCCCACAAGGGGGUGGAAUAAGCACUUAUGUGGCACCUAUUGCCUAUGAGUUGGGCUCUUUUUACAAAUAUCAUCCCAUUUGAUCUUUAUCUCAGCCCUGUGAGGUUGGUGCUAUUAUUAUCCCCAUUCUGCUGAUGAGGAGACCGAGGCAGACAAGUGCUCUGGGCCCUGGCGCCAUCUAGUCCAGCCCCCUCAGUAGACGCGUGAGGAGACUGAGGUCCGGAGACGUCACUGAGCCUGACGUCUGGUCUCCAUGCUGGGGUGGCCAGCCCUGGGGCGCUUCUGGGACUAAGUGCUCAAUAAAUAGGAGUGCUUCAUCAAACCGUCUCUGUUGUCCCCAUUCCACAAUGCUACAAUUAAGGGGUAUUAUUAUACCCACUCCCCAGAUGGGGAGACUGAUCCCCCAGUGACUCAGGGCCUUGGAAAUUGUUAGAAGCCGGUGCUUUGUGCUUGGAAGGCGGGCAGAAGCUUUGGAUUUCUCGGAUCCAGGACUUGUGAGCUGAAGUCUGCAUAAGCGCCCCCAGAGUGGAGGGCCCCCUGGGGCCAAAGCAGAGACAGACUCCCAUAGGCUGGAAGGAGGGAGAAAGCUAAAGCCUCAUGACGAUCCGCACUGGGCUCGGGGUUUCGGGCGCUCUCCAUUCCAGCUGGGGCCAUUGGGGGGGCCCAACCUCCAACCCAAAUGGCUAAGAGGAAUUACCCAGGAUGCAAAGCAGCAAAGGAGCCAGCCGGGAGGGCAAGGGGAGGCCACAGUGUUGGCCAUGGGCUAAUGGGCUGACCUGGGCUCAGCACCUGUGGGAGCCCAGGACCUUCUCAGAAUCCCGGCUUUUAAAACGCAUAAAGGACGUGGGUCCCAAAGGAAGCCAAUUAUGGUGAAAAAUAAUUGUCAAAAUGUUUCUUAGAACCCGGUUCCGGAUUUGGAGGAGACCCCAGAGUGCGGUUACUUCCUGCUGAAGGAUCCUGGGCCCUCCCGAGACUUCCAGGCUUGUGCCAUCAGCACCCACUGGUCGGGCAGAGGGAGAACCGCCGCCCCGGGGGUCCACUUUGGCCCUUACCCGCAGAGGGCUCCCCACUUCCUGGCCUGGGGGCGGCCCCUGUCUGAGAACUUCCAGAUGGAGGCCAGUCUCCCCCACCCCAGAUGCCGCCUUCUUCCCUUCUCAGGCCGAAGCUCAGAGGCUGAAAGCCAGGCUGAGAGCCCAGUGAAGAGCGGGCCCGACUCUGGGGCUCUGGCAGCCUCUGGCCCUCCUGUGGCUGGUCUGUCUGGCCUAGCUCUGGGCAAACCAGACGGCGUCUCCCACGAGGCAGCAGCUGCUGCACGGGGAACAUGUGCUAUUCAAGGCUUUGGGGGGUGGGUUUGAGGGAUGGGAAGGCCCCGGGGAUUCGGUAGAGAUGCCUACCUGGGGAGGCGGGAGGGACCUGGAGAGGGGGGAUCGGCUCUGGGAAUGCGACCUGGGAAAGGCUGUAACCUGGAAUAUUAGCAGGGGGCCUGGAGCAGGAGAAGGGCACUCUUGGGAGCAUAGGACACUUGGGUCCGCUUUGGGAUUGGGAGCCAUGAUGGCUUGACUGUUUUAUGGGAAUAAAGAGGUCCUGUUUAGGCAGCCUGAAGAACUGAUUCUCUGGGAAACAAAACUUUUAAAUUUCUGGUUUUAGCUAUAGGAGCCUCCUGAAGGGGCCAGGGGCCAGCCCUGGUCAUUUUAUCCUGAUUGUCUCAGUUUCCUCAUCUGUCAAAUGAGUUGGAAAAGCAAAAGGCAAACAAAAAGCAAAAGGAUCUUUGCCAAGGGAACCUCAAAUGGGGUCAUGAAGUUGGAUACAACUGAAAAAUAACUGAACAAAUAUAAGAAUUGAUUAAAAGAACUGGGAAGGUCUGGCUAAAAAAAGAAUCUUGAAAAGAGAAAGGACACACUGAGAUAUGUAGGUGACAAAAAAAAAAAAUCCACAAAUAAAAGUUCAUUUUUAAAAGAAGAAAGUCCAGGGAGGAGAGAACAGGCUGGGGGAUGGCCACUGUUCGAGAAAGACAAGUCAGUAACCAAAAAAGAGGUUUGUGGGGCUAAAUAUGGCAAGCUCUGAGCACCUAAUGCGGCAUCUCUUUGGGCCUCAUAAUCCCAUAGUCCCCUAGGGAGGGUCAUAGGAGGUGGCCCUCCCCUCUGACGUGCUUCCAGACCAGCCACCCCAGCUCUCAUCCGGGUGUGGGGGGGUAUGAAUGCCAGACAGACCCUCUCUUACCCCAUGCCAGGGAGAAGCAUGUGGGCAGAGUGGCCCCAGAGGAGGCCCAAAAGGGGGAAGUGAGCCUAAAUGCAGCCAGGAAAACCUUCUCACUGCCCAAGACUAUAUAGAGAGAAGGGCUGACCUGCACUGUCUCAUGCCUAGGCUGGGCAUCCAACAUGAAGCAAAGGAUUUGUCCAAGAGUCCAAGUACCGGGCCAGACUCGAGCCUCCUGGGACAAUGCCUCCGGCCGCCAGAUCCUCCUCCGCCCCCAAAGCACAUUCUGCGUCCGCUCAGGCCAGUCGCUGACCACGGCCGCAUGAACUCACAGCACAAAGCCCUGCAAAGGACAGCUCGGAGGGCCCUGGAGCUGGGGAAAUGGGCCACCCUGUCAGCAUCCCAAGGGGGCCGGUCAACAAGCUCUCCCCACCUUUGCAGGGGCAGGCUCUGCACAAGUUACCGUUAACUAACUCAUUGUUCAACGGCCAGAGAGAGGAAAUAGGACUCCUGUCCCCCUUGGAAGACAGCCUGGAAAGCUGGUGUUCCAAAGAUCCUUUUCCACACGGCCUCCAAACCUGCCGCGGAGGCCAACAGCCCCUAAGUAGGCCAGAAGGACCAGCCUGGUCAGUGAGGAAAAAUGGCAAGUUCUCAGUUCUGCAAAACAAAUAGAAGAGAAAUUUUAAGCACCUAAACAAUGCUUGUCAACGAAGAGCAGGGAGGGCACAAAUUAUGGGCUUGUGUUCUAAGCUCUGAAGAUAGAAGUACGAGCAAAAAAGUGGGCAGCACUUGUCCUCGAGGAGCUUAUGUUCUAAUGGGAAAAGAUAAUCCAUGAAAGGGAGCCGAGUGUGUGUGAAUGGGACUGUGUGUGAGUCAGCAUGUGUGUGUGUAAGUGUGUGUGUGUGUAUGAGUGUGUGUGCAUGUGUGUGUAAGUGUGUGUGAGUGUGUGUGAAUGGGACUGUGUGUGCGUGUGUGUGUAUGAGUGUGAGUGUGUGUGUGUGUGAAUGGGACUGUGUGUGUGUGUGUGUGUGAGUGUAAGUGUGUGUGUGUGAGUGUGUAUGCAUGUGUGUGUGAGUGUGUGUGAGCAUGAAUGUGUAUGAAUGUGUGUAUGUGAGAGUGAGUGUGAGUGUGAGUGACUGUGUGUGCAGGAUCGAAAGGUCUUGACAGCCUAUAACAUUGGGCCACAUCAAAUUGCUUUCCAGAGUGACUACCAAGAGAGUAUGAGUGUGACCACCUGCAGAGGGGCAGCUGCGCGGGGGUUUUUUAGGUAUGUCACAUGAGAGUGGGCAGCGAGGGAGAACCAUAGUGGAAAGGGCAUCGAGAAUCAGGAAGACUCAUCUUCCUAGGUUCAAAUCAUACAACUGAGGCAUGACCCUGGACAAGUCCUUUAAUCCUGUUUGCCUCAGUUUUCUCACCUGUAAAAUGAGCAAAUGGCAGGCCACUUUAGUAUCUUUGCCAAAAGAACCUCAAAUGGGGUCAUAGACAGAUACAACUACAAAAGGACUGAACAACAAGGAUGAGAAUUGGUUGAAAGAACUGGGAAGAUUCGACUGAAAAAAGACUGAAGAAAUUGGAAAGGGGGAGAGAAAGAAACACUGAGAAAUGUGAGUGAUAAAGAAAGAUUCACAAAUGAAAUGAAAUUAAUAAAAAGAAAAAACCAGAAUGGAAUUAUUAGACAAGGUCAACUCCCUGAUAAAGUAUGAAUUCCUGACCUGGUCCCAAGAGCGCUGUUGAUACCACAGUGGAAGAUGAUUCAUUGCUUCACCACUCGGGCUACACCCUUGGAUUUGCCCUCUAAAGGGAGGGUGGGGAGGCCAAAUGGAGGGAACAUCGGGGCUGAGAGACCUAACAGGGUAAGUCAGUCAGACACAAGGGACCUCGGCUCCCUCGGGAAAAGCUUACACAGUGAUCUGGCCACCGCAAAGCCUCAGGCCCAAGAGGGAACGGAACGCAACCUGGCUGCAAGGAGAGCCCCAGCUUGGAGGAGCAAACCUUGCCUCAGAGCAGGAAGAUGUAGAGGAAUGGAGAUUUCUUAGUGUCGCUCUUGCUGGCUGUUCCGAGCUCCAGGACAAAACAUGGUGUUUUCUCUCUGUUAAAUAAUAAGGCCUCCCCUACAUUGCUAUGGUCACCUGAGUGCUUACAAGGGAACUGAAGUCCCACUUUCUUUUUGUUGUGGAUGUCUAGAAACAAGCCAAAUUCUGAUGUUUCCAAGGAAAAUCCUGUCCAAGAACAUAAGCCGGAGAGAAGCCCUCCAUAAACGUAAACGGUUUAAACCUAGAACUUUGGUUCUAGACCACAGGUUACACAAAAAAGCAAUCAGUAUCCAGAGAGAAUAUGAGUCAAAGAAUUUCAGAAGUGGACGGGAAUAUGUGAUGUAGAACAAGAUCCUCAUCUUACACAUGAGGAAACGGAGACAAGGAUGCUAUAUCACGAGUCAGAUCUAAUGUUUUUUGUGUUGGAGUGUUAGAUCAUACAUCCCCUGAAAAUGUUCCAUUAUUCGACCUGAGCCGCUGUUCUCUGGACCUCACUAUGAAUAGUUUUCCUUUCUACUCUAACGAUCUGUCACUUCUACAAUGCAGACAUUCCCUUCUACAGCAGAUUGCAGCCCUUCCACGCCCUCCAUCCUGCGUAAGUCUGGUCCACGUUGUCCCAUAAAGGUAAGAGAGCUGGAGGGGAAGGGGGAAGGCGGACACAUCCCGGGCCCAAGCAGAGGCUUCUUUGGCUUCCCUUGAGUUCCGUGGCUGCCAGUGAAAGGCCGAGCAAGCGAUGGGAAAUUGAGACCUCCCGCUCCAGAGAGGAGCCUUUGCUUCCCUUCCAUACCAAGUGCUUGGAGCAGAAACCCUUCGAAGCUGCAGGAGGAGCUCCCGAAGUUGGCCACGAGAGGGCAGAAGGCGUCCAUUGUGGAAAUGCAGCGCGCACCCUGGACUCCAGGGAAGGAACAACUUGUCCAUCCCCUGGCCCUGUUUAAAUAAAACACAACCCAGGCGGGUAGGUGCGGACCCCAAAGAGGCAGCGUGUGCGAUCGGGGUUGGGGAACUGGGGGUCACAGCUCAGCUCUCUUGUGAGAUUCCUCUCUGUGCCUCAGUUUCUCCUCAGUCAAAUGAAGGAGUCGGAUUCUGGGGUCCCCUUCAGCUCCGGUGCCAUGAUCCACUGAGCCUGGGAGACUUGAGCUCCAGGAACCACAGUCAGAGCCACAUUGUGUUAACUACAAUAUUCUCUGGGUCACCUUUCUUCAUGAGAUGAAAUAGCUAAGAAGUCCAAGAUUCCCAGACUGAUCAUCCCUCCUCCAUCUUUCCCCUGGCCUCAGAGACCCACUAUUUUUUUUUUUUUUUACAUCAUCACUGAGUGUUCAGGGUUCCCUUUGCUUCUCACGAGCUGUCUGUCUGUCUGUCUUUUUCUCUUUGUCUCUUUCUCACUUUCUGUCUCUCUGUGUGUGUCUGACUCUGUCUCUAUGUGUAUCUUUCUCUUUCUCUGUGUCUAUUUGUCUUUGUUUCAGGCUGUGUCUGUGUGAGUAUGUCUGUCUCUCUGUCCCUCUCUAUCUCUCUUGUCUCUGUUUUUGUCUGUCUCUUUGGGUUUCUGUCCCAGUUUCAGUCUCUCUCUGUCUCUCUAUCCUUUACUGUCUCUAUGUGUAUCUUUCUCUGUCUCUGUUUUUAUUUCUCUUUGUCUCAGUCUAUCUCUAUGUCUGUCUCUGUCCCUCUCUCUUGUCUGUUUUUAUCUCUCUGUCUCCGUCCCAGUUUCAGUCUCUGUCUCUGCCUUUCUCUCUCUCUCUUUCUGUCUCUGUCUCUAUUUCUCUCUGUGUGUCACAGCUUUUACGCGUAUAUCUGUCUCUGUCCCUCUUGUCUGUUUUUGUCUAUCUCAGUCCCAGUUUCAGUCUCUGUCUUUUUCUGUCUCUAUCUCUAUUUCUCUCUCACUUUCUAUCUCUGUGUUUGUGCGUGUGUAUCUGUCUCUGUUCUUGUCUCUCUGCGUCUCCAUCCCAGUUUCAGUCUCUCUGUGUCCAUCUGUGACUUUUUCUGUCUCUUUGUGUGCAUAUGUCUGUCUGUCUUCGUCCCUCUUGACUUUUUGUCUGUCUCUCGGUCCCAGUUUCAGUCUCUAUUUUUUUCUGUUUCUCUGUCUCUAUUUCUCUCUCACUUUCUGUGUCAGUCGCUGUCCUUCUCUGUCCCUCUCGCCUUUUUUGUCUCUCUGUCUCUGUCCCAGUUUUAGUCUCUCUGUCUUUUUCUGUCUCUGUCCCUCUCUGUCUUUAUCUUGAACUGUCUCUCUAGGUCGCUGCGUCUGUCUGUCUUUCUCUUUGCCACUUUCCACUCCCUCAUCAAGCUCAUUCACACCUGCCCAUUCAGCUGUCACCUCUGCAAAUGAUCUGUCCCCAGACAUAACAUCUUUUCCAACCUCCGGAAGACCUGUCUCCGACUGCUGGAGAAUACCUCCAUCUGACUGGCCCAGUUCUGCCUGAAACACGGCAUGUCCCGGUGUGAGUCCCUCCUUCUUCUGCUUCCCCGGCCUCCUCUUCCUUCCCAAGGGACUGUUGGGCUCAGGGACAUCCCGCAUUCAUUCCCUUUGGUUCCUGUGUAUUCUCUUCAUAACUUCCCUGUCCCACACUCCUCCUAUCUAAUCAGCAGUUUCAACCUUUCUUCCCUACCCAUGGGCCCUUCCCUUUCUCCAAUGUGCCCUCUCCACAAGGGUCAGACCAAUCAUCCUCAUGCACGGAUCUAAUCCCGUUUCUGUCGACAGUCACAUUUCCUUGUGGCUCCCCAGAAGCCUCAAUCCCACGGCCAGACCCCCUGAGAUCUCCCGGCCUGGUGCUCCCCUUAUUUGUCCCAUGUUAUUCCUGACCGAGGAGGUCUGGCCAGGCCCCGGCAGGACCCCCACUAAGUUCCUGUUGUUUACGCGGAAUCUGGAUAAGGAAGUAGUACCCCUAAGGCCGCAGGCAGCCGGUGGAAAAUUAACUUUGUGGAAAACAAGAUUAUAAAACAGGGGAGGGCGAGGAGUCCAUCCACAGGCAGCCCAAGUCAGGUAGACUUUGGGAAAUUGUCCGAGUGACGCCCCCCCUGCCCCAUUCACCCCAGCUGCCAAGCUGGUGCAGCGGUCAGCCUUUGGGGGAAUAGUUUUUGGAGGGGGGGCCAUCGCUACUCUUCUGACCAGGAAAGACCCCCUCCACGCCCCCCCACCCCCACCCCGGACUGCUCCCUAAGGGACUGUGGGAAGGAGCAAGGGGAGCUUGUAAUUUUGAUUGCAAUCGCUGUCCAGUCUGACUUUUGUCUUCCCUGCCCGAUUGUAGGAGAGGGCAGCAUCAGCACUGCCGGAGUCCGGGCUGUUCUCUCAGGGUUAGCGGGGUCUCUCCUGGUGUUUUCCUCCAGGAACUCUCGAGAGAAUUCACUCAAACUGGACCGGUCAUUCUCCCAACACAUUCUGCACUUUUCCUUGGCCAGCGCCACUCCCCCAACGCGGUCCUCUUGAGUUUGCUCCGUUCCACUUGAGCCUACCCUGCCCGUCCCCUAAAGGUCUGCUCCAGUUCUAGUUUCCUGAGCCAACAAGCCGGGAACAACCAUUUGGCCUUUGUCUCUGUUCCCUGAGCGCAUAUUCUGUAACCUCUGCUACCUCUUGUGCCUCUUUCUCCAGUCCCUGCCAAAGGUUCUGUAAAAACGGAGAACUUGGGGCAGCUGGGUGGGGCAGUGGAUAGAGCACCAGCCCUGAAGCUGGGAGGUCCUGAGUUCAAAUCAGAUCUCAGACACUUAACACGUCCUAGCUGUGUGACCCUGGGCAAGUCACUUAUCCCUAAUUGCUUCAGCAAAACACAAACAAAACUGAGAACUUAAGUGGUUUUUAAACUGAUUAUGACCUGAAAAGCUUUCUUACUUAUUGCUAGUGCUGUCCUAAGGCUAAUUAGGAAUAAAGGAGGGAGGAGGGAAGGGCCUUUGUCCUCUCUCUCAAUAUCUUUCCAGAGGUCCCAAUAAAAUCAUAGUGCAUUUCAGCGUUCAAAAGCUGGGGGCCGGUAGCCAGCCUAUGGAGGAGUUCCAACUGUCACUCAAGUUGAGCACUUGUUUUAUAGAAGUGGGGAGGGGGCUUGUACCUGAAAGUGACUCACCUGGGGGGGGGGGGUCCAUGAGCCUGAGGAUCAGGAUGAAAUAAGUGAGACUGCUGCCCUCAGGGUUCUGAGAGGGGUGGGAUACAAACAGAAACAGGCUUCGGUCUGUUCUAGAGGCCAGAGCUGGGAGCCACAGAGACAGUUGGGUGGUGGAAUGCCGGAAUCAGCCCCAGCCUCAGAACACUUGCUAGCUAGGAGACUCUGGGCAAGUCACUAUCAUCUGUUUACCUUAGUUUCCUCAGCUGUGAAAUGGGGAUAAUGACAGCUUUGCAAGGACCAGAUGAGUCACUUGUAAAGCGCUUAGUACGUGUCUGGCGCACAGUAAGCAUUGUCUGAGUAAAUGUAUUAUUAUUAUUACUAGCAGAUAAAGGGUUGUGGAAAAGUGGAAUGGGAAUGAGUUCAGACAAAGGCUGGCCCAGCCCCGAUGGGGAUCAGAGGGGAUCUUGGGCAGGUCUGGGUCAGCCCUAGAGCUUCCAAAGUUCCUUCCCAGGCUGCGGUUCUAAGACUGUAAAGCCUGAAAUCGAUUUCCAUUAUUAUUUGCAUUUCAAGAUAAGCAGACUAGCUGUCCGUCAUUUCAAGCAGAAGUCGGGUCUUUUCUGGAGUUCUCGGCUCUGUUUUUCUUCCCAAUUCCUUCCCUUUUCCAGAAAUUUAUGCGAGGAGAGUCAAGGGCCGGGAAGAGGCCGGGGCCAGAGCUGGGCCAGAGUGGGGCCAGAGCCGGGGCGGCAGGAUCAGAUCACGGAGGGAACGGCUGAGAGCAUGCUUGGAAUUCUCCUUGUCUAGCCUCCCCAGAUACCCUCCCGGGCAGGGCUCCAGGGCCGAGGCCCGCGGUAGGCCGGGAACUUUGGCCCUGUGGUCCCAGGAGCCUCGGUAACGUUAGGGGGCAGUGGGCAGCGGGCCAGCCCGACCCUCCGGGGCAGCUCCCCCACUUGGGCAGGCCGCCAGUGUGUUUAGACUUCCCCCACAGCACAUUCACAGGACCACAAAUCCAGACAGAACUUCGGUCAUCAUCGGGCCCGGGGGAAUCGGGGAAUGGGUGCAGGGGAGCUUUAAGCCCUUCCUGGGUGUGAGCUGUGCUCAGCACCAGCCCCGAGAAGAAGCCGGCAGUCCCAACUUUCAGAGAUCACACACAAUCUGGGGGAAUCGGGGCCUAAAAGUUCAUUGCAAGACAGCCAGAUAGGCCCUGGGAAAGCAAAGGGUUGGAGGGCAAACCCUAUAAGGACUCACUCAAGGUCUUUUUAAGAACUUUAGAAUCGAUCGUAUGACAUAGGAUACCCUGGCCAGGACCGCCCGGCAUGGCGUGCCCUCCUCCAGGAGCACAGCAGGAUUGAAUUAGCCCAGAAGAAAAUGUGAGAUGCACAAAACUAGAGAGUCCUCCCCAAAUGUUUAUAAGGACGGUUGUGGCCAGUAUUCCCAGCUUGUGCUGGUCUGAUCAACUGUAGCCCGACACACCGAAAACGACUCUGACAGUCGUGUCAUUUUGGUCUUCUUCGAGGACAGCAACCAGCCACCCUAGGUGACCCAAUCUGCCUGCCUCAGUUUCCUCCUUUGUAAAAUAAGAACGAUAAUAUCUGUUUCCCAGGAACAGUGGAAGAUAAAAUAAGAUUCACACUUUGCAAAUCUUCAACCUCUCUGAAUAUUUUGCCAAGUGUAUUUCAAUAGAAUUGCUUUCUUGGUGAUCCUAACUUAGCCAUUAUUCUGUCCCUAGGCUUACAAAAAGGUCCAUGGCCCCAGAAAGGUUCCCAAUCCCUGCCUUGGUCCAAAUGCUCCUUGUAGUACGCCAGGGGAUAGAGUGUCCUCGGAUGCACUGGUCAGAGGACAGCACUUGUCACGGAAUCUUUCCUCUUAAAUCUUUCCAGUCAUGCGGGAGCGAGUUCUGGCUCUGGACAGAAGAGACCAUCCUUUUCUUCAUGAUCUCCGAAAGCUCCAGGACCUUCCAGACACUUGUGAAAAAUCACGAAAACAUUUCACUUUAACAUUCGAAUUGGGUUUCUUUCCACGAGGGGAUCUGCAGCGAGCCCAAGUGCAAUCCAGGCCGGAGAACUGUACCUAGAUUUGACUCCAAAUUCUGGGAUCUGGGUAAAGAAUGUGGGGGUUUGGUUUUGCUGCUGGCUGCAGUUUGUUACGGAAGGCACUAUCUCAGGUCUCUGCAAAAAGACGGAUUGCCCAGGAGGAUAUUCUGGAUGGACCAACAAUUAAAGAUGGGAGUGACCAAGGCGAACCUUCGGAGCUGAGGAAGCUCGUGACUUCCCACCUCCUUAGCAGCAUUCCUGGUCCAUCUCCUCUGGCCCUCCACCUAAUCAUAGCCUCCCACAGGGUCGGGGGUGAGGGGUGGGGAAGCUCUUCGGGCAGGUCCUUCUCCAAAAAUCACUCCUCUCCUAAAUUUUCUUAAAAUUAUCUGACGAAAAGUAAUUUUUAAAAUAAGCAGUAUUAAGUCUGAAAGUCACUCAUUUAAAUGAAGCUUGGUAACCUCAGUAACUACGAAUGAACAAAAAUACUAAUUUUGAGAAGGGUCUCAGUAACCCUCGCUGUCUGUCCCCUCCCCACCCUCCUUUCUAUUCCUAAGAAAUUAAUAAUUUAUUAUUCCAUUUUUGAGGGACUGGUGUGGUGGACAGAGUGCCAGGUCUGGAGUCAGAAAAACUUAUCUUCCUGAGUUAAAAUCUGGCCUUAGUGGCUCACUAGCUGUGUGACUCUGAGGAAGUCAUCUGACUCUGCCUCAGUUUCCUCCUCUGUAAAAGGAGCUGGAGAAGAAAUGACAAGCCACUCUAGUAUAUUUGCCAAGAAAACCCCAAAUGGGGUCAGACGACUCCAUUUUGAAAUUAUUGCUCACUCUUACACAUCUGACAAAAGCUGUUUGAGAAUAAUUUAACCAGUCAAUUGAACAAAAUAUUAAAGGCUAACAAUAACUACUAGCAUUUAUAUAGAAAGCCUUAACUUUUGUAAAAUACUUUAAUAUCUCAUUUUAUUCUAUAAUGACCUUGAGAAAUAGAGACUAUCAUUAUUUCCAUUUGAAGAAACAGACAGAAAGAGGUUACCUGACUUGGCUGGAGUCACACAGAGAAGUGUCUGAGUCUGCAUCUGAAUCCAUGUCUUCCUGACCCCAGGUAUUGGAUCUCCUAUGAUAUUUAAGACAGUGUGCCAGGUAGGCAUUGGGAAUUAGAGAUAAAAGCAACUGUCCUUAUCUGAAGGAGCUUGUGCACUAGUAGGUGACAUAACAUGGAAAAUAUGAAUUUACAAAAAAGAAAUACAAAGUGACUUUAGGAGGGAAAGAGCACUAGGGACUUUGGGAAUAGAUAGGAUGGGCAAGGGCUUCAUAGAGGUAGUAGCAGCUGGGCUUAGCUCAAGAGUCUGAAUGGCAGAUAAGAUAAAAGAACUCAUUCUGGUGAUAGGGUAUGUUUGGCCCCCCUAAAAAGGGUAAAAGGAAAGGGUAUUUCUGACUGGGUUUUAUGGGGAAAGAGGAGAAAUCAGGAAUAAGAAAUAAAAUGG